AGUGAGAUAACUGGGUCAAGUGGUGAUUUCAUUCCAAGUUUUCUAAGGAAUCUCCAUACUGCUUUCCAGAGUGGUUGCACCAAUUUGCUGUCCCACCAUCAAU
rnacentral:pre_miRNA from 1 species